AUUGAACGCUGGCGGCAGGCCUAACACAUGCAAGUCGAGCGAGCGGCGGACGGGUGAGGAAUGUCUGGGAAACUGCCUGAUGGAGGGGGAUAACUACUGGAAACGGUAGCUAAUACCGCAUACCAUCAGAUGUGCCCAGAUGGGAUUAGCUAGUAGGUGGGGUAACGGCUCACCUAGGCGAAGAUCCCUAGCUGGUCUGAGAGGAGGACCUGCGACACGGGAACUGAGACACGGUCCAGACGCCUACGUGAGGCAGCAGUGGGGAAUAUUGCUCAAGGGGCGCGAGCCUGAUGCAGCCAUGCAGCGUGUGUGAAGAAGGCCUUCGGGUUGUAAAGCCCUUUCAGCGGGGAGGCGUUACCCGCAGAGGAAGCACCGGCUAACUCCGUGCCAGCAGCCGCGGUAAUUC
rnacentral:rRNA from 1 species